rnacentral:rRNA from 1 species
UACGUAGGGUCCGAGCGUUGUCCGGAAUUACUGGGCGUCAAGAGCUCGUAGGUGGUUUGUCGCGUUGUUCGUGAAAACUCACAGCUUAACUGUGGGCGUGCGGGCGAUACGGGCAGACUUGAGUACUGCAGGGGAGACUGGAAUUCCUGGUGUAGCGGUGGAAUGCGCAGAUAUCAGGAGGAACACCGGUGGCGAAGGCGGGUCUCUGGGCAGUAACUGACGCUGAGGAGCGAAAGCGUGGGGAGCGAACAGG